rnacentral:lncRNA from 1 species
AUGGAAAGGCCACAAAGGGAUGAAUCUAUAUGUGUUUGUGCAAAGCAGUUAACCAUUGAUGUAGAAAGUUAUGAAACACCUCAUGAAAUGUACAGGCAUUUUCCUGGCACAUAUCAAGACACAGGAGAUUGGCAUCAUGCUGAGUUUUCAUAUCCAGAAUAUAACAGAAAUAGAUCUUCUGUGCAGAACUGCAAGGUUGUUCAGAACCCUCCAUCCUCUUCUUCUUCCUCCAGCUCCUUCUAUUUGCCUCGUUUAAAGCAUUUGCACUUACGUUCUCGUGCUCAGUACCUCUCUAAAGAGCCUACUGCUAAAGAGCUGCCAUGCACAAAGUCUGAUUCCUCAACUGUGCCAGAGAGCAAGUCAUCUGAUUCUCACUCUGAAUCAGAUGUUCCCUACAUGACAGAAGGGAGGAGCAAAGAUCUGAGUAUCCUCUUGCUUUCUAAAGGACAGCUGGAAGAAGUGAAAAGUGCCUCUCCCUGUCCACAAGAAGAUAAAUCCCAGCCUUUAGCUCCACCUGCAGAAAUAAACCUCAUACAGAGUACCUCUUUUGAAAAGCAAGACUGUGUACUUUUGGUGGAGAAGUCCCUUGGAAUCCAGUUGAGGCCUAUACCUCCUUCGAAUGAUGAAUUGAUUCCUUCCAAGCUGACACUGACCAGUCAAGUGGAGAGUGAGGGGAAAUCCACAGUUUUGGUCUUAUUGGAUACAAAUCAAACCUGUUGUGUUGAUAAGGAACAGGAGCAGGAGAAGGAUCUUGGUGGCACCCUGGAGAAGACUGUUCCAAAGUUAGCAUUUCAGACUAGUCAGCAGCCUUCACCAAGUGUGAGCUCCAGCUCUGUUUCAUCUCUGAAUGACUCUGAGGUUACUCCUUUUGUCCUAAAAGACAUGGAUGAGGAAAUUAGAGAUUUCCUGGAAUUUCAUGUUAAAAAGAAAAUGGUUCAGCGACAGUGUGGCAUGCCCACCAUUGUCGUCAAAUCUUUAAAACUCUUCCAUUUUCUGACUAGUGAAUUUAGCAGGGACCUUGUAAACCUCAAACAGAAGCCAAAGGAAAAAAAACCAUGCAUGCUAAUUCACGCUGAAAGACAAGUACCUCUUUCUUCUCUACGCAAAAAGGCAAAAUCUGUUUGUACUGAACCAUCUGUGCAAGAAUUUCCAGGAACCAGAGAGUAUUAUAUUAUACACUUUGAGGAGCCAGAGGAAACCAGGGAGCAUUCACUUCCCUUCAAGAUACUGGGCAAUAAAAUUAUAACUUCUCAGGGCAUCAAAAAGAAAUUUAUUCUCUUCUCAAUGGAGCCACAGGAACUGAGAAAACUUUCUUUCCACACAGUUGUGAAGAUGAUAGAAAUUAAAAAGAAGGCCUUUCCAGAUGUGGUUGAGGACUCCUUUAAAACCUUUAAUAUCCUUUCUGCAAAGUCCCUCCCCAAAUUAAUUCGUUUUGGCAAUAAAAUUCCCAGGGCAAAACAUCUAUCUCUGCCCUUCAUUGCUAGAGAAGCUCUUUGCAUCAUUGACUUGAACGUUAAGCACAAAUACCUGGUCUACAAAUGGAAGCUGCCAACAGUGUACACAGUGCCCAUACAAAAGAAAUCCUUAAUUGCUUCACAAGCAAGCAAGCCUGAAGUGAGCAUGGGGAAGGGGGAACCUCACAGACCAUGCAUUCCCAUAGUAAUGCUGAAGAAGCAUCCUGAGGGAGAAGUGACUCCAGAUGCGACACAUAUAGUUAAAACUCCAGUACCCACUAGUGCUAAAAAGCCUCCAGAGUCAACUAGUGCUAAAAAGCCUCCAAAAGUUAAAUUUGAAGUGAUUCUCUCAGAUAAGAGUCUAACACCAGAUGCACCCCUGGGACAAAAAAAGAUGCCUAAAGACCCUGCAACGGAGGCUUCUGGACAUCUUCCUACAGACGCUGCAUCACAGGCACAAGCAAAAAGAGAACUAAGCAUACCAUCACCAGAAAAUAAAUUCCCCAGUGAGGCUGUCCCACUAUCUUCUAAGAAGGAAGAAACAGUGAUAUACAGAAAAGGAACAGGAACAGAGAGUAGAGAAGAGGCUAAAAAGACAGAGACAGGAAGUAGAGAACCAAAGAGUGAACAGGAGUCUAAAAAGGAAGAAAUAUCCUUCCAAGUCCCAACAUCUUCAACAGGGAAGGAAGCAGAAGCUGCUGGAAGCAAAGAACAAAAGAGUGAACAGAAACCCAGGAAGGGGGAAGUGACUUUCCAGAUUAUCCCAUCUUCCACAGAGAAGGAAGCAGCAGCUGCUGGCAAGGAUACUGGGGCCAAAGAACAAAAGAGUGAACAGGAGCCCAAGAAGGAGGAACUGUCUUCCCAAGUUCUCCCAUCUUCCACAGGGAAGGAAGCAGAGACUGCUGGCAAGGAUACUGGGGGCAAAGAACAAAAGAGUGACCAGGAGCCCGAGAAGGGGAAAGUGCCUUCCCAGGUUCUCCCAUCUUCCACAGGGAAGGAAACAGUGGCUGCUGACAAGGACAAAGAAAAGAGUGAACAGGAGCCCAGGAAGGGGGAAGUGCCUUCUCAGGUUCUCCCAUCUUCCACAGGAAAGGAAGCAGCGGCUGUUGGCAAGGAUACUGGGGGCAAAGAACAAAAGAGUGAACAGGAGCCCAAGAAGGGGGAAGUGCCUUCCCAGGUUCUCCCGUCUUCCACAGGAAAGGAAGCAGAGACUCCUAGCAAGGAUACUGGGUCCAAAGAACAAAAGAGUGAACAGGAGCCCAAAAAGGGGGAAGUGUCUUCCCAGGCUCUCCCAUCUUCCACAGUGAAGGAGACAGCAGCUGCUGACAAGGACAAAAAACAAAAGAGUGAACAGAAGAUGAAAAAGGGGAAAAUGAAUUUCCAGGUUCUCCCAUCUUCCACAGGGAAGAAAGCAGCAGCUGCUGGCAAGGAUACUGGGGGUAAAGAGCAAAAGAGUGAACAGGAGCCCAAGAAGGGGGAUGUGCCUUCCCAGGUUCUCCCGUCUUCUACAGGGAUAGAGGCAGCAGCUGCUGACAAGGACAAAGAACAAAAGAGUGAACAAGAGCCCAAGAAGGGGGAAGUGCCUUCCCAGGUCCUCCCAUCUUCCACAGGAAAGGAAGCAGAGACUCCUAACAAGGAUACUGGGUCCAAAGAACAAAAGAGUGAACAGGAGCCCAAGAAGGGGGAAGUGCCUUCCCAGGUUCUCCCGUCUUCCACAGUGAAGGAGACAGCAGCUGCUGACAAGGACAAAGAACAAAAGAGUGAACAGAAGACCAAGAAGGGGAAAAUGAAUUUCCAGGUUUUCCCAUCUUCCACAGGGAAGAAAGCAGCAGCUACAGGCAAGGAUACUGCGGCCAAAGAACAAAAGAGUGAACAGGAGCCCAAGAAAGGGGAAGUACCUCCCCAGGUUCUCCCAUCUUCCACAGGAAAGGAUGCAACGGCUGCUGGCAAGGAUACUGCGGUGAAAGAACAAAAGAGUGAUCAAGAGCCCAAGAAGGGGGAAGUGCCUUCUCAGGUUCUCCUGUCUUCCACAGGAAAGGAUGCAACGGCUGCUGGCAAGGAUACUGGGGACAAAGAACAAAAAAGUGAGCAGGAGCCCAAGAAGGGGGAAGUGCCUUCCCAAGUACUCCCAUCUUCCACAGGAAAGGAGGCUGCAACUGCUGGAAAAGACACUAAAAGUGAAGAACCAGAGAGUGCUAAGGAGAAGGGGAAAGUGAGCUUCCAGAUUGCCUUACCUUCCCCUGAGAAAGCAUCAGCUGAUGGGAAAGAAAGUGAAAGCAAGGAAUCAAGAAGUGGCCAGGAAACGAAGAACGCACAAGUGCCCUCCCAGAUUCCUUCAUCUUCCAUGGGAAAGGAAGCAGUGGCUGAUGAAAGCAAAGAUUCAAAAAUGUGUCAGGAGGCACAAACAAGAGAAGUGCUUACCCAGAUUUCUCCUCCUCUUGAAAAGAAAGGUGAUGGGAAAGUUACCGAAAGUGGUGUUUCAUUCACUGGCAGGGAACUGAAGAAGGAGGAAGUGUGCUCCAAGAUUCCUCCACUUUCUGACUGGAAGGGACAUGAGGGCAAAGGCCAACGGGAUUAUCAUGAGAAAUUGAAAGGGGAACUGUGGCCUCAGAUCUCCCUGCCUUCUUUUGGGAGAGGACCAGAGGUCGAUGUCACCCAACCUAGGAACAAAGAAUCAAGGGAGAGUUGGGGAGAAUUGAAAGGGGAAAUGAGUUACAGGGUUCUCCCACCUCUUUAUGAAUGGGGAGGAGAAGCUGAUGGGGAGCAAACUGGAAUCCCAGAAUCCAUGAGUGAUCUGGCAGAGCUGAAAGGUGAAAUGUACUACCAGGUUCCUUACUCUUCCGUUGGGAAAGACACUCAGGCUGAUGGGAAAACAACUGGAAGAAAUAAAUAUGGGAAUGAUCCAAGGGAACUGUGUUAUCUGGUUCCCUACUCUUCUCCUGAAAAUGAAGCACAGGCUGUUCAGAAACAGUCUGCACAGAAAGAAACUGAAAAUGAUAUAGGAGAGCUAAGAGGAGAACUCCGCUACCAGGUUCCCUGCUCUUCAUCUGAGAAAAAAGCACAGGCUGACAGGAAACAAAGUAAAAAGAAGGAAUCUGGGAGUGUCCUGGGAAAGCUGGAAGGAGAACACUACUACCAGGUUCCCUGCUUCUCCUUUGAGAGAAAAGCACAGACUGAUGGGAAGUCACCUGGAAGGAAGGAAUCAGGAAGUCAUCCAGGGGAGCUGAGAGGAGAACUGUGCUACCAGGUCCUCCAGUCUGCCUUUGGGAAAGAGGCUGAUGGGAAACAAACUAGAAGGAAGGAAUCACAGAGUGGCCAGGGGGAAUUGAAGGGGAAUUUGCUGUAUCAGGUUCUGUCUACUGAGAAAGGAGAAGAGCCUGAUGGGAAAAGAUCUCAAAACAAGCUUGAUGGAAGGGUAACUGGAAUGAAUACAAGAAGCAGGCCAAGGGAGUUGGAGAAAGGAUCUUCCUCCAAGGGUCUCAUGCCUUCCUUUGACAAAAACAAAACCAAAAUUGAGAAAGCAGAGAUGAUUGAAAGGGGAGUUGGACCCAAGAUUGCAAAAACGUGGCAGAAAGAGGCCUCCAUUGUACGAACAAGCCUCUUCCUUGAACUGGAUGUGACAAAAGAAAAACUUAAUGUACACUUAAAGAAAAAAAUGGAAGCCAAGUUGAAGCCACUGCAGGGAGCUGAGCUGAGGCUUGAUGUUGGCUUUGGAAAGGAGGCAGAAAGGAAAACAAAGAAGUCAUCCCAUGAGAACUACCCUGUGGGCAGCCAGUCUCAGAAGAAACCUCGCAGACCUUUCUGCUAUGUCUGCAUGCCUGUGGAUGAUGCGGGGACGUCAGUAAAAACUGUCUGCUGGGCCCUUCCCAAGUGGAUCCUAGAAAUGAAUGGGAANCGGAUCCCUCAGGUUGCACGGUUUGAGAAUAGAUCAAAGAUCUAAGGNGCCAGUUCAGCAGCAAGUAUGUUCAGGCCCAUUUCUAGUUGGCNUUGCUGCUUUGUGCUGGGAAGACAAAUGGAAAGCAUGUGGGGAACUGUUGCAAGUAUGCAGUAAAUGUAAACAGAGAAGGAGAUUGCUUCAGAGGCAAAGGUUAAUGUGCAUCUAUGGGUGGGAAGAAACUAUUAAAGAUCCUACUUUAAACAUCGAACUCUUUGCUAAGCAUUCUGUGCUGUUUUACCAGCAUUGAACUAUCUUCAUAUCUUC